GAAAUGCGAUAAGUAAUGUGAAUUGCAGAAUUCAGUGAGUCAUCGAAUCUUUGAACGCACAUUGCGCCCGCCAGUAUUCUGGCGGGCAUGCCUGUUCGAGCGUCAUUUCAACCAUCAAGCCCCCGGCUUGUGUUGGGGACCUGCGGCUGCCCGCAGGCCCUGAAAAACAGUGGCGGGCUCGCUGUCACACCGAGCGUAGUAGCAUACAUUCUCGCUCAGGGCGUGCUGCGGGUUCCGGCCGUUAAACGACCUUCAUAACCCAAGGUUGACCUCGGAUCAGGUAGGAAGACCCGCUGAACUGAAG
rnacentral:misc_RNA from 1 species